UAGAAUCUUCGGGGCGAGGCGUAAAUCCUCACCGGCGGUUAUAGCCCGCAAGCUUUUGGUAGCAGAUUUGGUGAAAUUCCAAAGCCGACAGUUAAAGUCUGGAUGAGAGAAGAUGUGU
rfam:Clostridium ventriculi strain 2789STDY5834858 genome assembly, contig: SCcontig000005